GAUCCUGGCUCAGGAUGAACGCUGGCGGCGUGCUUAACACAUGCAAGUCGAGCGAAGCACUCUGCUUUGAUUUCUUUCGGGAUGAAGAGCAUUGUGACUGAGCGGCGGACGGGUGAGUAACGCGUGGGUAACCUGCCUCAUACAGGGGGAUAACAGUUAGAAAUGGCUGCUAAUAUCGCAUAAGACCACAGCACCGCAUGGUGCAGGGGUAAAAACUCCGGUGGU
rnacentral:rRNA from 1 species